rnacentral:rRNA from 1 species
GACGAACGUUGGCGGCGUGCUUAAUACAUGCAAGUCAACUGAAGCAGUGGUAGCAAUAUCGCUGUGGAGGUGGCGCACGGGUGAGUAACACGUAGGUAAUCUGCCUUCAGGUCUGGCAUAACUCCGGGAAACCGGGGCUAAUAGCAGAUGAUGCAGCGGCUCGACAUCGAGACAGUUGUUAAAGCUAUGGCGCCUGAAGAUGAGCCUGCGUCUGAUUAGCUAGUUGGCGGGGUAACGGCCCACCAAGGCAACGAUCAGUAGCUGGUCUGAGAGGAUGAUCAGCCACACUGGAACUGAGACACGGUCCAGACUCCUACGGGAGGCAGCAGUAAGGAAUAUUGCUCAAUGGGAGAAAUCCUGAAGCAGCAACGCCGCGUGAGGGACGAAGGGCUUUUGCUUGUAAACCUCUGUAGUGAGAGAAAAAAAUCCCAAUCUUUGGGACAUGAUGGUACCUCAAAAGUAAGCCCCGGCUAACUACGU